GACGAACGCUGGCGGCGUGCUUAACACAUGCCAGUCGAACGCUGAAGCUUGGUGCUUGCACUGGGUGGAUGAGUGGCGAACGGGUGAGUAAUAAGUGAGUAACCUGCCCUUGACUCUGGGAUAAGCCUGGGAAACUGGGUCUAAUACUGGAUACGACAUGUCACCGCAUGGUGGUGUGUGGAAAGGGUUUUACUGGUUUUGGAUGGGCUCACGGCCUAUCAGCUUGUUGGUGGGGUAAUGGCUCACCAAGGCGACGACGGGUAGCCGGCCUGAGAGGGUGACCGGCGACACUGGGCCUGAGAGACGGCCCAGACUCCUACGGGAGGCAGCAGUGGGGAAUAUUGCACAAUGGGCGGAAGCCUGAUGCAGCGACGCCGCGUGAGGGAUGACGGCCUUCGGGUUGUAAACCUCUUUCAGCACGGAAGAAGCGAAAGUGACGGUACGUGCAGAAGAAGCGCCGGCUAACUACGUG
rnacentral:rRNA from 1 species